UUUUUUUUUUUUGGUGGGGGGGUGAAGCAAAUUUGGUUAAAGCUUUGGGUUCUUACAAAUUCUAAGGUGCUAAGUUGAGUGGAUGCAAGGGAAAAGUGUUUAUGAUUAUGGCAUAGUGUUUCAGAAUAUAGGAAUUAAGAACAGAAUGGCUGAAUUUGCAUGAAAUAUCCACAUUAAUGUUUUAAGUACCCAGAUAAUAAUAGAAAAGAACAAAUUCAAAAGAAGAUAAAGUCAAGGGUUUGUCUUUACAAUCCAGUAAAUAUUGCACUUUUGUCACCAUAGUUAUUCUAUGUUGAAGUUCAAUCAUUCUAUGAUUAUGGAAUAGAAUUUUGGAAUAUAGAUCAUUCUAUGAAUUACUUUAUGCAAUCAUAACCUCAACUGGGUGCUUCAUAUUUUGUUCUUUUAUUUUCUAGAUGGUUUCGGUAGCAGAUUGGUUAGAAGAAAAAG
rnacentral:misc_RNA from 1 species